rnacentral:piRNA from 1 species
UGGAGAGGAGGAGGGCAUGAAGU